rnacentral:rRNA from 1 species
CCUACGGGUGGCAGCAGUGAGGAAUAUUGGUCAAUGGACGAGAGUCUGAACCAGCCAAGUAGCGUGAAGGAUGACUGCCCUAUGGGUUGUAAACUUCUUUUAUAUGGGAAUAAAACGUUCCACGUGUGGGAUUUUGUAUGUACCAUAUGAAUAAGGAUCGGCUAACUCCGUGCCAGCAGCCGCGGUAAUACGGAGGAUCCGAGUGUUAUCCGGAUUUAUUGGGUUUAAAGGGAGCGUAGGUGGAUUGUUAAGUCAGUUGUGAAAGUUUACGGCUCAACCGUAAAAUUGCAGUUGAAACUGGCAGUCUUGAGUACAGUAGAGGUGGGCGGAAUUCGUGGUGUAGCGGUGAAAUGCUUAGAUAUCACGAAGAACUCCGAUUGCGAAGGCAGUUCACUGGACUGCAACUGACACUGAGGCUCGAAAGUGUGGGUAUCAAACAGGAUUAGAUACCCGUGUAGUC